rnacentral:rRNA from 1 species
UCUGCCCCCUGCACUUCGGGAUAAGCCUGGGAAACUGGGUCUAAUACUGGAUAGGACCGCACUUUAGUGUGUGUGGUGGAAAGUUUUUCGGUGUAGGAUGAGCCCGCGGCCUAUCAGCUUGUUGGUGGGGUAAUGGCCUACCAAGGCGUCGACGGGUAGCCGGACUGAGAGGUUGAACGGCCACAUUGGGACUGAGAUACGGCCCAGACUCCUACGGGGAGGCAGCAGUGGGGAAUAUUGCACAAUGGGGCGCAAGCCUGAUGCAGCGACGCCGCGUGGGGGAUGACGGCCUUCGGGUUGUAAACUCCUUUCGCCAGGGACGAAGCGUUUUGUGACGGUACCUGGAUAAGAAGCACCGGCUAACUACGUGC